UUUUUUUGAUAAAUCAGUUUCUAGAUUUGGGAAAUAAAGGAAAAGCGUAAAAUUCAAAAACAAAAUAAAAUAACUGUUUUCUAUCGAAUCUCUACCAGAAAUCUAACUGAUAAUGAAGGCUUAACAUAGAUGAAAGUUUUUAAGCUGUUAGCCCCCCCCAAGGAAAAGGCUGCGCACGCCUAUGAUAUCUGGUGAAUCUCCCCGCUUCCUGCUUCUCAUGUCAUGUCCAAAUUGAUGAUUUCUUUAGCAUGCGUCUACUGGGAAUCACCAGUAGAAGCAAACUGAAGGAAUCACUAAUUCUCUAAAAAAUAAAAUUUGGCAUAAUGCUUAAUUGUUCGUCGAUCAUAAAAAAUCACUAGUAAUUCCAUUUAAACUAAUUUUAUUAUUUGCGUUUAUGAAAUUAUUCUAUUUGCAUUCUACAAUAAUAUUUAAACGUCAAAAUUCUGUAACAUACGCCAUCAAUUGAUUAUUCAACAAAAAUACAAUAGUUGCAUACAAGUGUACGUUUUAGUACACUAAUCCAUAAGAAUUGUGAAAUAAUUCACCAAUACGCAUAAUACAUUGCAUUUCGUGAACAAUACACAAAUGCAUAUUUAAUGCACUAAUACGUAAGAAUUGCAAAAAACUGGCAACUCUGUUGACGGCGAUCGUUGCUCUUUUCUAAGAGCUGCUUUUUUUGCCAAUUAAAGUGUUGUAUUUUUACUUCCUUAAAUAUAUUUUUCUUGUAAUUUGUGAUUUAGUGUACCUGUAACCAGUGUAGAUUGGAGGUUUGUGAAUAAGUGCCGGAGGAUCGAUAGUUUUGACCGAAAAUAAUUUAGGGUUUCUCUGCCCAAAUUAUUAUUCGUUAGUCCUUUUGAUAUGUUUGUAUUGUUUUGCUGCUGUUCACUUGAAAUGCCGAGGCAUUACGGGUGUGGCAGCAAAACGAAUUAAACAAAAAGCUUACUUUUGCUCGGUAAAAUGUACAGAUAUCUAUAAACGCAUCAUUGACAUGCAAAAUAAUGAAAAAUCUUUUAUAUCAUCAAUUAGCAGCAAACUAAAUGCGACUGUGGCCAGUGUUGUGUCGGCUCAAAUGCAGCUAGUGACGGAGAAGGUCAAAAUGCUAACUAAUACUAUCGAGUUGUCUCAAAAUUUUCUGUCUGAGAAGUUCGAUACUAUCGUGUCAGAGUUCAAAGAUUUAAAAUCUGAGAAUGAACGUUUAACACAUGAGCUUAACGCUUUAAAAUCUUCUCAGUUGUCGCUUUCUACCACUGUCAAUAAACUUGAAAUGAAUUUUGAUAAAGAAAAUAAGAAAACAAUAGAAAAUAAUGUAAUGAUACUUGGUAUACCCUCACUGCCUAACGAAAAUGUAACUGAUCUCGUGCUGAAAACGUUUAAAUGUACCGGUGUUAAUUUGUCCUCUGAUUCCCAUGUUUCGUCGACCAGAUUGUACUCUAACAAUAAAAAUAAUAAUGCUAUAAUUCCGAUUAGAGUUGUUUUCAAAAACACAGUUUUGAAAGAAUUGUUGCUUGACAAAAAGCAACAAUUUGGCCCAUUGUUAACUACGACGAUUGAUGAAGCACUAAAGAACUGUCAGCCUUGUCAUUAGAAUUGUUAAAAGAAAUACGUGAAUCCCAAAAACUUCUUAACAUUAAAUUUGUAUGGCCUGGUCGUGGAGGAAUGAUUUUAGUAAAAAAGGAUGAACAUUCUAAAAUUGAAAGAAUUGGUAGCAAACAUGACCUUGAUCGAAUCAUAAAUAAUUACAAAAGUGCAAAAUCUGCCUCUUCUUCACCACAACAAUCUGCCCCUAAGCGAAAACGAAAUUAAGAAUGUAGUGAACAAUCCAGCAUAAAAACUUGAAUUCAUGCAUAUCCAAUGGCUAAUUCAAUCAAAAAUUUUACUUUCGACCAUAUUUACGAUUUUAAUGACAAUUAUAUAACGAUAACCAGACACUAAAAAUUUUGCAGUGGAACGUAAGAGGUAUAAACAAUCUCUCUAAAUUUGAUGAAAUUUUGCAAACCCUUGACAGUUGUAAAACUUCCAUAGAUGUUAUAGUGAUUGGUGAGACAUGGUUAAAAGACGACAAUUGUGCUCUCUAUGAAAUACCACAUUUCAAGGCAUUUUUCGCGUGCAGGCAACACUCUAGCGGAGGUUUAGCUGUGUAUGUCAAUCAGACUAUCAAACAUAGAAUUGUAAAAAACUAUACCGCAGAAGGAUUUCAUCACAUUCACAUCGAACUGUUUAUCAAAGGACAGUUUUAUGAUGUUCAUGGAAUUUACCGUCCUCCUAGCUUUGAUUUCAAUGAUUUCUCAGCCUAUUUAGAAAAUUUGAUGUGUUCAGUCCAAUCGAAGCAUUCGUGUGCUAUUGUAGGUGAUGUAAAUGUCCCAAUUAAUCUUGCUAAUAACAAUAUUGUUAGAAGAUAUAAAAUACUGUUGGAAUCUUAUGACUUUAUUUGUACAAAUGUUUUUCCUACCAAACCAAUUAGCGAAAACAUACUUGAUCAUGUGCUAUGCAAACUGGACGAUGUAAAUCGAGUGCGCAAUGACACAAUAUUUAACAAUCUGAGUGACCACUCUCAGAUCUUAACAACUUUUAAAAUUACAGCUGAUGGGGAACCAAUGUUGCUUACCAAAAAAAUUGUUAACCAUCGCCAACUUAACCACGAGUUUUCCAGCUUCGUUAAUGGUAUUGAUGUCAUUGUCGACCCGGAAUCUACUAUUCAAUCUAUCGCAUCCACAUACAACUCAUUACUUCAACGUCAUACGAAAACAAUAACUAAAACAGUUAAAGUGAAAGGCACUCACUGUCCCUGGAUGACUUUGGAUUUAUGGACUCUAGUAAAAAAAAAGAGCAAUUACCUUCAACGUCUCAAAAGUAAUCCCGCGGAUCAACAUCUAAAGCAAAUGCUAUUGCAUGUAUCCAAAAAGGUAGAUGCCACAAAACGCUUGGUAAAAAAAUCUUUCUAUGAGAACCUUCUUACUAACACACCACAUUCAAAACUAUGGAAAAACCUAAAAAGCACUUUUGGUUAAGCAAAGAAAAGCGACCAGAUAAAUCUAAUUGUCGAUGGUAAAAAAACCAACAAUAAUGCAGAAGUCUGUGAGUCUUUUAAUGUCUUCUUCUCUAGUAUAGGGCAAAAACUGUCAAAUGAUAUCCCCACCACCUCAAACAUUUGUCCUUUAAGUAAUGUUCGUCGUGUCCGUGAGUCAAUAUUUUUGCGUCCUUCAUCAACAAACGAAGUAAUUAUGCUGAUACAUAGCCUAAAUAAAAAGAAGAGUAGUGGCGCUGAUAACAUUCCUGUUAAUAUGUUAAAAGAAAAUUCUUGCGCUUUUUCUAGAAUCCUUUCUCAAUGUUUCAACAUAAUUGUUCAAUCUGGUUAUUACCCUGACUGUCUCAAAGUGGCUAAAGUCAUCCCUGUUUUUAAAUCAGGUAACUGUUGUGAUUAUAAUAAUUAUCGUCCUAUAUCUACACUGUCCGUUUUCAACAAAAUCCUCGAAAAACUAUUUGUUGCUAGAUUAUUAGAAUUUUUGAACAAACACAGCGUCUUCUAUAGAUUUCAGUAUGGGUUUAGACAAGGCUCUAGCACCCAAACUGCUAUAAUUGAAUUAGUUGAUCUAAUUAUGAGCGAAGUGGAUCGUAAAAACAUUGUUGGUGCUCUAUUCCUAGACCUUAAAAAAGCAUUUGACACUUUUGACAACACAAUACUGCUGGCCAAGCUUGAAUGUUACGGUAUCAGGGGCAUUGCUCAUUCUGUUAUUCAUAGUUACCUGACGAAUAGAAAGCAAUUUGUAUCUGUAGAUGGUGAACGUAGUAGCCUUGCUCCCAUUGGAAUCGGUGUCCCUCAUGGUAGUAAUAUAGGACCUUUGUUAUUUCUGUUGUAUAUUAAUGACCUAGGUAACUUACUGGAACUCCUAGACUGUUUGCUGAUGACACAGCUCUGUUUUAUCCCAACAAUGAUGUCAAUACUAUUAUUAACUCGAUCGAUAACGAUCUAAAUGUUCUCGACCAAUAUUUCAAAGAAAAUUUAUUAUCACUAAACCUUUCCAAAACUAAGUACAUGAUCUUCCGAUCCAUACGGAAAACUUUACCAACACAUCAUCAUCCCAAACUUAGAGAUUGUACAAUUGAAAAUGUGGACUGUUUCAAAUAUUUGGGUAUACACUUAGAUCCUACGUUAUCCUGGACACACCAUAUAAAAUUUGUCGAAAAGCGUGUGGCAUCCUCUUGUGGUAUUUUGUGGAGAGUUAAAGCGUUUGUUCCCCAGCGAGCUCUGUUGAAUUACUACUUUGCAUACAUUCAUUCACAACUUAACUACUUAGUAUCGGUAUGGGGGCGAGCAGCGAGCUAUCACCUUAAAAAGCUACAAACACUACAAAACAGAUCUCUGAAAAUUAUAUUUAACUAGCUAAUACCCAUCGCGCGUUGCUGCGAUUUUCAACGAAAUAGGAGAAAACCACAAUUUGUUCCAAAGCGCCAUCUGGCGGGCAGAUCAUCUCCAACUAAUAGCACACAAACACGCCCCAUACCAAAUAGCUACUGUGUGCAAAUUUUUACGGAAAUCAGUUAAGCCGUUUGGGAGUCUAUAAAUCAUAUACAUACAAACUUUGACUUUUAUAUAUAUAGAUAGAUAGAUAGAUAUAGAUAGAUAAACCACUUUUAUUUUCGACUUUGUUGUUAUACUCUGAAAGUGCCCACAAUAUUUUACCCAUAUCUCACUUAUGUGACGUACAAACACUAUUAUUCACACACGACAAUCUACAUAACUCCAUCGCGCAGCAUAAUAUACAUUUUACAACUUUAACACAUUCUCGUUCAACACGCCGAAAUAGUAACUUGCAACGUAUUCGAGCAGCCACAAACCUUGGCCAAAAGCGCAUUCUUUUUAUUGGCCCUACCAAAUUUAAUGCACUUCCACUUGACAUGCAGAGAAUCGACAAUCGUACCAUCUUCAAGGCUAGAUUGAAACAGUACUUUAAACAUAAGCUUAACGAAAUAUUUAAUUAAUGAUAUUGUUUUGUAAUUUAAUGUAAACAUCCAUCAGCAGUAUUUAACUUUAAUUUAAUUUAUAAUGUGGAUCCCUUAACAGGAAAUCUAUUUCCACUGGGAUUCCACCUUAGUUAAUUAUCUUAAACUAAUUGCACAUCAAUAAAUGUCUGUCUCAGCUCAGUUUGUUUUAUUUGUUUUGUUUGUUUUUGUUGCCAUUGUUCAUGGGCUGAGACAAGUUGCGUCCACUACCAGGGGGCUCUUGUAUGAGUUCUUUUAACUUUGGUGUGGGGGAGUGUGGUAGGCAAUUAAAAAAAAUUAAAAAAAAUGUAAAAAAAUAUGAACGAAAUAAUCAAUACUCAUCAAUAAACAAAAUACAUGUCAUUUCGUGAAAAAUACACAAAUACGUCUCUCAAUUGAGAUAUCUGACGUUUAAAAUACGCACAUUGAGAUCUCGCAUUUUUAUACUACCGCCCUCCCCUUAAGCCCAGAAGCGGUUUGUUUUCCUCCCAAUUUUCCGUGUAAAUGAUUUGUUUUCCUCCCAAUUCACACGUCAAAACGGCGAAAUACCAACGCAGCUGGAUAAGUCAAUACGUUAGCCUGAAUCGAAAAUACUAAAGUAAGUCGCCCCUCGGGUAAACCUUCCCACACUACUUUUACAGUAAACGACAAGUUACGUCGGUAACCUAGAACAACGUUUCAAUAGCCUACCGAUCGCCAGCAUCUAGUUUAACCUGCCUGUCCGCCAUUUCGUUUACUGGGUUGUAGCAAAAUACGUUUUUUCCCCGCAUGUCUUUAUAUUUAAAGCAUCGUCUUUGGGUAAACCUUGCAGCCAACUUUACGGCUUCUCUCUCCGCGUGUCUUUAUAUUUCUCGACAAACAUAUGAUUACGGCCUAAAAGCCAACUGUCAAAAUCCACUUUGAAGGGAAAUUCCGGACAAACCGUUACUAGCCGAACACAGUUCACAACAGCUUAUGUAAGAGAAAACUUUUCUUUUUCGGUUACUAUAAACAUCUGUGACUGGCGCAUAACAGUUUGUCCGGAAUUUCCAUUCAAAGUGGAUUUUGACAGUUGGCUUUUAGGCCGUAAUCAUAUGUUUGUCGAGAUUUGAGGCAUUGUCUUUGGCACUGAGCCGCUCCAAAACAGGGAUGUCAGGUGCACAGAUUUAUCUGUGUUUCACUGAUUUUCAAUAUGCUGCACAGAUUGCAAAAAGUGCACAGAUUUCCACUGUUUUCUGUUUUAACGCACAGAUUUGCACAGCAUUCUUCUAGAAUGCACAGAUUAGCACUGAUUUCUCAAUUUUUGCCUUGCGCUUCAUUUUUGACUAGCGCGAAAACCAAAAAAAAGGUCACCACAUCUUGUUUACAGCCAAAUUUGUACGUUUUCCGUGACACAGAUAGACACAGAUUUUUAAAUGGGCCGCGCACAGUUUUUUCAAAAUAUCACCUGGCAUCCCUGCUGCAAAAACCUGUUGAGGUUAGGUAUUUCGUUAGAAAAACAGGUCAAACUCCUUUGGUUAGCUAUGCAUCUGGGUUGUAAAUGAGCUGUCAAAAAUCGUAAUUAGAUAGUUGGUAUUUACGACUCAUACCGGCCUUGAACGACUGAUAUAACAGUUCCGAACGAAAUGGCGGAUUGGCAUAUUUUGAUUCUAUGUUGCGAUCGGCUGUUGGUGCUGGAAGAGAUUCGCAGCGACCAAUAUCCAAUUUUUAUGCUGAUCAACUGUUUCACAUUAUUCUGUGUCAUGAUGCUCAUAAACAAGACAACGAAGAUAAAGAAAAAAUAAUGUAAUGUGCAGUACUUGCCUACAUAACUAAGAACGAGUUUUGUUUUUUUUUAUCAUAAAGGCAAACUAGUAACGAACUUGAAUUUGUAGACUGACAAUCAAUCACUUUGAUGUUUAGAGCUGGCAAAUUUUCUUCUUUCAGCAUAGCU